rnacentral:rRNA from 1 species
AUUGAACGCUGGCGGCAGGCCUAACACAUGCAAGUCGAGCGGAUGAAGGGAGCUUGCUCCUGGAUUCAGCGGCGGACGGGUGAGUAAUGCCUAGGAAUCUGCCUGGUAGUGGGGGAUAACGUCCGGAAACGGGCGCUAAUACCGCAUACGUCCUGAGGGAGAAAGUGGGGGAUCUUCGGACCUCACGCUAUCAGAUGAGCCUAGGUCGGAUUAGCUAGUUGGUGGGGUAAAGGCCUACCAAGGCGACGAUCCGUAACUGGUCUGAGAGGAUGAUCAGUCACACUGGGACUGAGAGACGGACCAGAGUCCUACGGGAGGAAGCAGUAGGGAAGAUUCGGCAAUGGACGAAAGUUGGACCGAGCAAUGCCGCGUGAGUGAAGAAGGUUUUCGGAUCGUAAAACUCUGUUGUUAGAGAAGAACAAGGACGUUAGUAACUCAACGUCCCCUGACGGUAUCUAACCAGAAAGCCACGGCUAACUACGUG